rnacentral:rRNA from 1 species
UACAGAGGGGGCAAGCGUUAUUCGGAAUUAUUGGGCGUAAAGGGCGCGUAGGCGGCUUUUCAAGUGGCGGGUGAAAGCCCUCGGCUUAACCGAGGAACUGCCUGCCAGACUGAAUGGCUUGAGACCGGGAGAGGUGAGUGGAAUUCCCAGUGUAGCGGUGAAAUGCGUAGAUAUUGGGAGGAACACCAGUGGCGAAGGCGGCUCACUGGACCGGAACUGACGCUGAGGCGCGAAAGCGUGGGGAGCAAACAGGG